rnacentral:rRNA from 1 species
UGAGGAAUUUUCCGCAAUGGACGAAAGUCUGACGGAGCAACGCCGCGUGGAGGAUGAAGGUUUUCGGAUCGUAAACUCCUUUCAGCAGGGACGAAGCGCAAGUGACGGUACCUGCAGAAGAAGCCCCGGCCAACUACGUGCCAGCAGCCGCGGUAAAACGUAGGGGGCAAGCGUUGUUCGGAAUCAUUGGGCGUAAAGCGCGUGUAGGCGGUCGAUCAAGUCGGGUGUGAAAGCCCCGGGCUUAACCCGGGAAGUGCAUCUGAAACUGAUCGACUUGAGUCUGGAAGAGGAAAGUGGAAUUCCUGGUGUAGCGGUGAAAUGCGCAGAUAUCAGGAGGAACACCAGUGGCGAAGGCGGCUUUCUGGGCCACGACUGACGCUGAGACGCGAAAGCUAGGGGAGCAAACAGG